GAAUAAUCAUACAUUUUUUGCCAACAGUUUAUUUUCCUUUGUCUUCUUUAGGCUCAUCUCCUUCGUUUUCUCCCUUCUAUUUGUUUUUGGGAUAAAAAUUCAAGGUCAAGGAUAUUAGACCUUUGAUCUUUUAUUCUUUUUUGAAGAAUUUAGAUGUGAAACAUGAGUAAAAUCCAUAGGCAUCUUCAACUGAGUUGACAAAAAUAAAAGAAAA
rnacentral:sRNA from 1 species